AUUGAACGCUGGCGGCAUGCUUUACACAUGCCAGUCGAACGGCAGCGCGGGCUUCGGCCUGGCGGCGAGUGGCGAACGGGUGAGUAAUACAUCGGAACGUGCCCAGUAGUGGGGGAUAGCUCGGCGAAAGCCGGAUUAAUACCGCAUACGACCUGAGGGUGAAAGCGGGGGAUCUUCGGACCUCGCGCUAUUGGAGCGGCCGAUGGCAGAUUAGCUAGUUGGUGGGGUAAAGGCCUACCAAGGCGACGAUCUGUAGCUGGUCUGAGAGGACGACCAGCCACACUGGGACUGAGACACGGCCCAGACUCCUACGGGAGGCAGCAGUGGGGAAUUUUGGACAAUGGGCGAAAGCCUGAUCCAGCAAUGCCGCGUGUGUGAUGAAGGCCUUCGGGUUGUAAAGCACUUUUGGCGGGAACGAAAAGGACUGUGCCAAUACCACGGUUCGAUGACGGUACCCGCAGAAUAAGCACCGGCUAACUACGUGC
rnacentral:rRNA from 1 species